UGUGAGCCUCUCAUGUACACAGCAAACCACUUCUGGAAACUACAUUUCACAAGUACGUUAAGCAGAGAACAUGAAAUGAACUAUUUACACAUCUUGCAGUUAACAUAUAGUAGUAGAACUUACCAGAUUUGGGGUAGGAAACCAGAAGGACAUCGUCUUCUCUAGCAUCAAAAGUAUCCAAGGAAUUUAAAAGCUCUGGAGAAGACCUGGUGGUAAAGGAAAUCCCC
rnacentral:lncRNA from 1 species